UACGUAGGGCGCAAGCGUUGUCCGGAAUUAUUGGGCGUAAAGAGCUCGUAGGCGGUUUGUCGCGUCUGCUGUGAAAACCCAGGGCUCAACCCUGGGCCUGCAUUCGAUACGGGCAGACUAGAGUAUGGCAGGGGAGACUGGAAUUCCUGGUGUAGCGGUGAAAUGCGCAGAUAUCAGGAGGAACACCGGUGGCGAAGGCGGUUCUCUGGGCAUGUCCUGACGCUGAGGAGCGAAAGUGUGGGGAGCGAACAGG
rnacentral:rRNA from 1 species